GACAGAGGGGGCAAGCGUUGUCCGGAAUUACUGGGCGGACAGGGCACGCAGGUGGCUGUAUAGGUGGCGUGUGAAAGCCCCGCGCUUAACGCGGGGAGGCCACGCCAAACGGUGCGGCUCAAGCGAUGCAGAGGGUGGUGGAAUUGCCGGUGUAGUGGUGAAAUGCGUAGAUAUAGGAAGGAAUACCAGUGGCGAAGGCGGCCUCCUGGAUCAACACUGACGCUGAGGUGCGAAAGCGUGGGGAGCAAACAGG
rnacentral:rRNA from 1 species